rnacentral:rRNA from 1 species
AUACGGAGGAUGCGAGCGUUAUCCGGAUUUAUUGGGUUUAAAGGGUGCGUAGGCUGUGCGUUAAGUCAGGGGUGAAAUACCGUCGCUCAACGACGGAGCUGCCCUUGAUACUGGCGUGCUGGAGUACGGAUGCCGUUGGAGGAAUGAGUGGUGUAGCGGUGAAAUGCUUAGAUAUCACUCAGAACACCGAUUGCGAAGGCAUCUGACGAAUCCGUCACUGACGCUGAGGCACGAAAGCGUGGGGAUAGAACAGGAUUAGAUACCCUGGUAUUCCACGCCGUAAACGAUGAUGACUAACCGUCGGCGAUAGACAGCCGGUGGCCAAGCGAAAGCGAUAAGUCAUCCACCUGGGGAGUACGUCGGCAACGAUGAAACUCAAAGGAAUUGACGGGG